AUUGGUCCUUUGCAUACUUUUCAAUAGAGCUCCACACUCCUGAUCUCAAACUAAUUUAAUUUAUUUUCUAAUUUUAUUUUUUCUAUCGAAAUAUAAAUGAUACUCUUUUAUUCUAAAAGUUAGCAUCCCCAAGAGCUGCAUUCAUCUCCUUUUCUUUCUAGUUUGGAGAUCUGGGUUAGCCCCAAGCUAACAUCCUUGAAAGUAGCUUCGUUAACCUGUCUUAAGGCUCUAAAGCUGCUCGGGGUGAAGGAAGAGCUAUUACCUGGAAUGUUCAUCACUGCUUCUUCAUUGGAGUCUCUAUCUAUUGCAGUCGUGGAUGAUAUGAGAACUCUCCCAGAUGAGCUGCUUCCAACAUGUUUCCACCCUCCAAACUCUCAACAUUUGGAACUGCCCCAAUUUUACAGCAUUCCCACACUGGAUAGGCAGAUUCUCCUCACUCAGAAUGCUUAAAAUAUAUAAAUGUUCCGAAUUGACAUCACUGCCGGAAAAGAUGCCUUCCCUCAACAGCCUACAGAAAGCUGUUGUCUCUGAUUGUUCGAACUUAGAAAAAAGUGGCCAAGAGGAAACUGUUGAAGACCGGCCACAAAUAGAUUUCAUCUAUGAAAGAAUGAAUGAAAUUGGAUUCCAUGUCAGAUUUUACUUGCUUUAAGAAGCUUAAGUUGGCCUAAUGCCCAAAGGGAUGCCAGAAGGAAAUAGGUUUUGGAUUGGCCUAAAGAUUUUACAUUGCCUACAAAUUCAUAUCUAUUAGAUGGCUAAAGCAGAAAGGACAUUUGCUUCCGUUUUAAUUCAAAUGUGAACAAUACAUAUAUUUCAGGUAAUCCUCCUCCCAUUAUUGGUGGCUGCAUCAUGAUUGAUUUCACUCUUGAUCUGUUGAAAGUGUUAUACUCAUAUAUAAUUUUGUUAAUUAAUGGAUCAUGUAAAUAAAAAAAUUUCUGGCAGUGAUAGAGUAGUUCAUUGAUAUUAUGAUUUACUUGUCAUUUAUUAUAACUUAGUUAUUACAGUAAGGAUCCCAAAAUUGUCCAGGAAAUGACAUAAAUUAUUCCUGGGUUUCAAGGCGAAAUCCCUGCCAAUUCAAGGAAGGGCAUUCCCUGCGUUGUUGGAAAGUAAGUUCAAUUCACCUUCAUGUAAUAUAGUUGUGCAUAUUCUUCACAUUCUACUGAGAACAUGUCAGUCCUAUGGCCCAAAGAAUUGAUUUAUGACCAAAAGAAAUUCAUUGUCAAAUUGUGUGUCAAGAAAAUUCUAAAAUCUGUCAAACGGGUACUUGUCUUUUGUGGUUCAUGUGGCAGCUUGCAAUUUCAUCCAUGAUAGACCUUUGCAAUGGCAAGCUAUAUUGAUUCGUUUAGCUAGCCUCUUUUUUUGUUUAAUUGGUUUUUCUUUUUUCUGAUACUAGCCAUUAUGAUUAAUCAAGAUAUGCCCAUCUUUAAAAUAUUUUUUAGAUGGCAGUUCUCUGAAACCUAGUUUUUGAAGUUGUUAUACUAUCCUGUUGUAUGCAAGUUCAGUUAUAGAUGCUUAUUCUAGACCUAGUCUGAGGGUUUGAUGGUUCUGCAUCAUUUCCUUUCAUGUAUUUUGAAAGAUUACGAUAGGAGACUUUUGUGAAUGAAUAUUCAUUAAAGCGUUUCAAAUUGUUUGUAGCUGAAACUUUUUGGCAGAGUAAAAAAUUGCACUAAAUUUGUAAUAGAACCUGGAAAAUUUCAUCAUUCCAACACAUUGGGACUAGGCAUAAGGGGAAAUCUGUAAUUUACUACUUAGUAAGCCAUGCCAAAUGUUUUGAAUGUCACUUUCUUAAAACUUUCAUGAAGUGGUCGAGGUUCUCCCUAAUGAGAAGUUAGAAUCAUAUAAUAUGUGGAUCUCAGUAUAGCCCACAAUGGGUAUAUACUUGAAUUCCGGUGCAAAUAAUUAGAUCACUCAUUUUUUUAGUUUCUGUUCUUUAUUGUUGUCAAUUUGGAUGCACCAUCAUCUAAAAGAAGUUUGAAAUCUUGAGCUACUCUUGCCAGACCAGUAAAUAGAAUUGCUGCUGACUAGGUAUGGAUAUUUGUGUUAGUGCAGUAUUGGCUCGAGCAACUUGGUUUAGCAUUAAACCUUUGGUUUAGCAACUUGGUUAAUAUUUUAUAUUUGAUAAGUUUCAGUUGGUCCAAUUGCUCAUGUCAAUGUUUCCAUGGAGAUGGGCCUGUGGCAGAUGCUGUAAAUAUCACGUCAUCUAGUAAUCUUUUAACUUUCUGAAGAAUGUAUUUUCUGCUAUAUAAUGCCAUUUGUUUUUCAAUUCUUAUAGUCUCAAAUUUCAGCAUCGUAUUUUGAAAUGCCUUGCUGCUUAUUCUGUCACUGCUCUUCCAUUAUGAAGGUGUUUCCACAAUAUCUGAUAUUCUUUCAUUGAUUGUUUCCAGGUAAACUUUACAAAAAGAGAACUGCACAAUGUCUUUGUUAAAAAGCUUUAAAGGUAACAAAGAGGGCACCACAUUGGAGCAAUAACAUGUUUUACCAACUCCUACGGAUGAAAAGUCUCCUGGGGCUGGGGACAAAGGUUGAUGGAAAUCAUCUUCAGCCGUCCUUCAGAAGAUGGUACCAUUCCAUUGAAUAUCAUUGCAGAGGGCGCCAAACUUUCUGUAGAGGAUGUGGAGUAUCUUUUCAUGAAGAGCCUUUCUGUGUUUCUUGUAGGUUCACAUGGAUUUGACUUUGUUAGCCUUGACAUGGACAAUAACAAGGUGGCACAAGGACUCAAUGUCUUGUGCAAGGAGAUGACUUGGUGAGCCAUGGACGCAAUGCCAUGACAUGUGUAGCACCAAUAGAGAGACUCGAAUAGGGCACAUCAAUGUGAAAAGUUAACAUCGAGGCUUGCUAUUCAUAACUGUCCAAUGACACCUCCUUCUCUAGUUCCUGGAUUGUUUCAGAAGCAAAAUUAAUCACCAUUCUAAAAACUUCUCGUGUGAUAAAUGUUUUCCAUGGUCUGUGAGUGUGAUUCAUGUAGUUACGUUUGAAAUAUAUUUCAUGAAGCUUUAAUGGGAUAUGUUAA